CAGAAGAAGCACCAUGGUCCUAUUCAGAUGGAUUGAAGUGUUUUUAUUCUCUCUACUAAUACUUCAGUGUAAAGGCAACAAUGUAACAACAACACAGACAGUAACACACACAUCAAAAAAUACAAGUAUUAUUGAACCUACAUCAGUAAAUGGAACAGUAAGGACUUCAUCAGGUGACCACACAACAACACCAAUCCCCACAACAUCAAAAUCAACAAAUGCAACUACUGUAUCACAAUCAAGACAACCUACAUCAACAACUGGAACAACUGAAAGAAAUACUUUAUCAGAAAUUUGGAAACGGGUUAUCAUUGUUCUUGUGGGCAUUCUGGUACUAAUACUUGCUAUAGUCAUCAACACAUGGAAUAAACCUAACGGAAGCAAAACACAGGUGGAAGAAGUGACUAAGGUGGCGAGUGAACGCAGCUGCCAAAAAAAUGCUGAUGCUGAAGAUGUCUCCUAUGUCUCUGUCAGUUUUAUCAGGAGGUCCAAGUGUAAAGCCAAGGUCUGUAAUGAUAAUGAUGAAGAUGACACUGUGACUUACAGCACUGUGAAAUUUCCUUCCUCUUCUGCUGGCGUUUCCACUGAUCCCAGCAACCUCUAUUCCACCAUCAACAAACAAAAGAAACACGUUCCAGCCUGAAGGUUA